rnacentral:rRNA from 1 species
UACGGAGGGUGCAAACGUUGCUCGGAAUCAUUGGGCGUAAAGCGCGCGUAGGCGGCUCUUCAAGUCAGGCGUGAAAGCCCCGAGCUUAACUCGGGAACUGCGCUUGAUACUGUCGAGCUAGAGUGUGGAAGGGGCGAUUGGAAUUCCGUGUGUAGCGGUGAAAUGCGUAGAUAUACGGAGGAACACCAGAGGCGAAGGCGGAUCGCUGGGCCAACACUGACGCUGAUGUGCGAAAGCUAGGGGAGCAAACGGG